CAGGGAACACAGAGGAACUGGCAUGAGGACCUUAAGCAAAGUGGGUCGAGGGUGCAUGAGGAGGGGGAUCUGGCUGGACAGAGUUCAGCUAGCUUCAGAGUCUGUAUUUGGGACCCCAGCAUCCCUCUCUGGUCAUCUGGCUCCAACCCAAGGACCUCUUCUGCUUCAUUGAGUCCAUCUGCCCACAGACCUUCCUCUUUUGUGACUUUGGCGUCACAGCGCAAAGGGCUGAGCCUUACAACCACACAGAGAACUCAAUAGCUAAGAGAGGAGAGGAGCCAGGGAGGUGUGGGCCAGUGGAUUAGCUGGAAGUCUGUGAAGCAGAGGUACCCAGGGUUAUGGCUGACGCCAUCACCUAUGCAGACCUGCGCUUUGUGAAAGUGCCCUUGAAGAACAACGCGUCUAACCAUUCAGGACAGGACUGUGAGGCCUAUGAGGAUGGGGAACUCACCUACGAGAAUGUGUCUCCAGUCCCGGGAGGGCCGCCAGGCUUGGUUUCCCCUGCACUAGCGGACAAAGCAGGGGUCAGGUCAGAGCAACCAACUGCGUCCUGGAGCUCCGUGAAGUCAUCUGCUCUCGGGCAGAUUCUCCGCUGUCCCACAGUCUGUUUGCAAUACUCCUUGCUUGGCCUUCUCCUCGCCUGUCUGAUGUUAGGGGUGGCUAUCAUCUGCCUGGGAGUUCGCUAUCUGCAGGUGUCUCAGCAGUUCGAGCAGGUGAGCAGGAUUUGGGAAGCCACCAACAGCAGCUUGCAGCAGCAGCUCAGGGAGGAGAAAAGACAGCUGAAGCAGAAGGUGGAGGAUCUUCGGGAGUCUCGGAGAGAGCUGAACUCGACGCAGGACACAUUUCAGGAGAAGCAGAAGAUGUAUGAGGUCACUAAGCAGCAACUACAGGACUGCCAGGCUGAGAGUCAGAGGACCAAGGAGAGCUUGAAAACUGAGGAGCAGCGGAGGCAGGACCUGGACCAGAGUUUGAGGAACACGCGGGACACUCUGAGACGCUUGUCCUCCUGUUCGUCAGGUCCGAUUCUCAUUCUCAAAGCUCAUGUUACCUGAUAAAAUGUUACCAUUCAUGGUGGUAUGAAAGCUCAUACACGUGUACAGACCUUUUCCCCUGCAUUUGUGAGCUGGAGGCGCUCAGGUUUCCUGAUGGGAUCCAUCUGAACUGAAAUGGACACUUCAACAAGACCUUGUGACCUACAUCCUUAACCUAUGGCCUGCCAAUUCUCAAGACUGCUAUUCCUCCAGCACUCCCUCACUCUUGGGCACGCCCAGCUAAGGGCUGAUUCUGGUCUGGCGACCUGCUGCUUGCUUGAAAGCUGCUCCAGAAACUAUUCUUGGGAAGAGUAAAGAAGCCUCCAGAAAAGACUUUGACCUUCCUUAAGAACUUCCCGAACUAGAGAUGGGUCAGGGGAGGGCGCUCCGCUGAGUGGAUGGAUGGCCCGGAGCCAGCCAGGCAGUUUUAUUGAAAUAUUUUUAAAUAA